rnacentral:lncRNA from 10 species
GUGAUUGAUUCAAAUACUGCGUACUCUUGCUAGUAUUUUCCUUGCAUGCUGAUAUGGUUUGGCUGUGUCCCCACCUAAAUCCCAACUUGAAUUGUAUCUCCCAGAAUUCCCACGUGUUGUGGGAGGGACCCAGGGGGAGGUAAUUGAAUCACGGGGACCGGUCUUUCCUGUGCUAUUCUCGCCAGAGUGAAUAAAUCUCACGAGAUCUGAUGGGCCUAUCAGGGGUUUCUGCUUUUGCUUCUUCCUCAUUUUCUCUUGCUGCCGCCAUGAUUCUGAGGCCUCCCCAGCCAUGUGGAACUGCAAUACUUUAAAGACACAAAGUCUCAACAACCAUCUUCCGCUUGACGAGACAGAUCAUUCUAAUUUGAGCAGAAGCUACUAUGUCCUGCCCUUUGAACGCGGCGGCCCGGACAGCUGACAAGGACACACUGUGUAUUUCCAUUCCAAUUCUGGGAGUGCUCUGAGGCCUCUGGGGGAGAAGGACCCAUGAAAUAUUCAAAACAUAAGUGAAUAAAAUAUCUAGGUGCUAGAUAUGGGCCAGGAAGAGCCCUCGGCCCUGCAAAGUGUGUGUGAUGGUGAGAAGCUACCGGAAGAGAUGGUCCCUGUGCUUGGUUCAUUCCUUGGACAUUUAUCAAGCUGACGAAUGUAGCAGAGGUGCUUCAGUCGGCUGUAAUUCCACGGGUGGAGUGCUGGCUGGAGAGUUACCUGGGGCUGUCACACUGCAUGGGCUCCGGGACACUGUGGCUGCCCUUAUGUGGUGUCCCCGGAGGGCCCUGCAGGUGUCACACCGCUGCUCCACACUGCCACCUGCUGUCAGCAUCUGUGCAACGUAUCCAGGUCUCUGGGGGCUAGAAUGAAAAACAUGCAUCUCGUAACCAAUGAAAUCGGGCUUGUCCUGAAGACCUCGUGCAUUCAUCCAUUCUCACACUGCUAUAAAGACAUACCUAAGACUGGGCACUUCAUGAAGAAAAGAGGUUUAAUUGGCUCACGGUUCUGCAGGCUUUACAGGAAGCAUAGCAGCUUCCACUUCUAGGGAGGCCUCAGGAAACUUAUAGUCAUGGUGGAAGGUGAAGGCGGGACAAGGCGUCUCACAUGGGAGCAGUAGAGAGAGAAAAAGAGGGGGUGCCGCACACUUUGAAACAACCAGAUCUAACGAUAACUCACUAUCAUGAGAACAGCACCAAGAAGCUGGCGCUAACCCACUUGUGAAGGACCACCACCAUGAUCCAAUCCCUUCCCACCAGGUCCCACUUCCAACGUUGGGGAUUACACUUCACGGCCGCCCCUGCCUGGAUGAGACCACGCUGACACUCACACGCCUCCCUCCAGGAGGACCUUGCCUCCACUUUCUCCAGGGCCACCUGUGAUGCACCAGGAUCCAUCCUGUAAUCCCAGCUACUUGGGAGGCUGAGGCAGGAGAAUCACUUGAACCUGGGAGGCGAGAGGCAGAGGUUGCAGUAAUAAGCCAAGAUUGGACCACAGCACUCCAGCCUUAGCAAUAGAGAGAGACUUCGUUUCAAAAAAAAAAACCUAUGCAAAUCCCAAUUACACACGCUGAGUGGCAUGUUCAGCUGAGCCACCUGCCCAAGGCGGGACCCUCUCUUCCUCCGUCUGCAGGUCACAUGGAGAUGGCAGAGCACCUGCACGUGCACCUGGAGACCCUCUCAAGCCUCGUCUCCUGGCACUGCCUCCUCCUGACAUUGGAGGCUGCUGGGAGUACCAGCCUGUAACCCUCGUUGUGAUGGCACCUGCCUGGUGCUAUAAUUCAGACAUUUGUCUCCCCAACCUCAUGUUGAAAUUUGAACCCCAAUGUUGGAGGUGGGACCUGACAGAAGGUGCCUAGGACAUGAGAGCUUGGUGCUGUCCUCGCGGUCAUGAAUGCAUUCAUGCUUUAUUCCUUCUCACAAGAACUGAUUGUUAAAAACGCUUGGCACCUCCUCUGCCCACUCUCUCUUGCUCCCUCUCUCACCAUAUGGUCUGCAUGCACCUGCUCCCAUCGCCUUCUGCCAUGAGUGGACACUUCCUGAGGCCUCACCAGAAGCAGAUGCUGGCACCAUGCUUCUUGUACAGCCUGCAGAACUGUGUGCCAAAUAAACCUCUUUUCUUUAUAAAUCACCCAACCUCCCAACACAAAUCGUCCAAGACACCUGGUGUCCCCCAAACAGCUCCUUGGUCAACCUCAGAUUCAGGACCAAUCUGAGAGCUGUUUCCGUGAAGGGAGGAGAGGAGAGUUGUUAGCUGAAGAGGACAUGGGUUUGCUCAAGAUCCCUGCAUUCUCCACUAUGGCUCUCUGAUUCUCCUCUCUGAGCUUGUGGCAGACACGGCAGAUACCUCAAGCAUGGCUGGGCAGCAGAUGCUGGCUGAGAGGAAGUGGCUGAGCCCAACUUGUCCCUCCUCAGACCCCAGAAUUGCCAAGACCAGAGUCCUCCAUAAAGACCUCACAAACAGGCAAUCACUGCAUGCUUUUCCACAAUUAAAUAUGUGCACAUCUUAAGGAAAGGACCUAACAUCCUUCAGCAGUAUCUCUUUCCAGGGCAGGGAGUGACUGCGUCAGCAGCCUCAAGUACCUGGAAACUGUCCACAUCAGGCAAAGUGGUGGGAGAGACACAGAUGUUUCCACCAGCAUUUAAAAGAAAGGAAAGAAAAUUAUUGACAAGAAGCCUCCAUGGUGGAUCAGGCUUCAACGUUUUGAUGGACCUGGCCUCUCUUGGAAGCAAAUCCCUGGAUGGAGCCCAUGUCUCUUUGGGCCCCCAAAGGCAGCCUGACCUUGACACGGAGUGCAAAGCAGACUCAGCUGCUUGUGUUUAAUGGGGAUUCGCAUAGUUGGUUUUUGGUUUUGUUUUUGUUUUGUUUUGUUUUUUGUUUUUUUUUGAGAUGGAGUCUUGCUGUGUUGCCUAGGCUGGAAUGCAGUAGCGUGAUCUCUGCUCACUGCCUGCAACCUCUGCCUCCCCAGUUCAAGUGAUUCUCUUGCUUCAGCCUCCCGAGUAGCUGGGAUCACAGGCACGUGCCACCAUGCCCUGCUAAUUUUUGUAUUUUUAGUGGAGAUGGGGUUUCACCAUGUUGGCCAGGCAGGUCUCGAACUCCUGACCUCAAGUGAUCCUCCCACCGCAGCCUCGAACAAUGCUGGGAAAACAGGCGUGAGCCACUGUACCCAGCUGGGAUUUGUGUAGUUUUGUCCGUGCUGUUAUAUGGUGCACUGGGCAGAGCCAGCCAGUCCCGCCUCGAGCCCCGUUACUUUGGUCUCUGAUGCAGAUGUUGUGUGGCAGUGGAACGGCCUCAUCAGCCCCACCUGGGACCUGGCAGGGGAUGGGUCUGAGCAGCCCUAGAGGAGGGUCCCCAGGGCCCACAGCAAGGGUGACAUGACCCACACCAUCCCCACUGAUGGGACCCACACAGUGAACCUCCUCCCACACCCCCUCCCCAGCCGGCCACUUGGACCAGAGAGACGUUAUCAAAGUGCCCUCUCAGAAACGUCGCCUUCAUCCACCAUCCUCUUUUAACCCACUGGGCUUGGUCAGGAAGCCGUUGGUCAGCAGGGGGCAGGUGGGGUUGGGGGGCACCCUUAUGUCCUGUGAGACCCUAGCAGGCACUCCAGCUUGGGAUUUCCAGAGGCUCUGAGGUGGCUAAGAACAGGAUGACAAAUCGACUCCAAGGUUCAACUCUUCCCCUCAUGGACACUCCUCCCUAUGCUGUUCUCAUCUCAAAUUUUACCUGUUUUUCUCAAAGUAGCUCACCAGAGGUUGGAAAUGAGAUCAAAGGUCAGCGUGGAUCUCAACAUUAUUAUUCAUCAGGGAAAUGCAAAUCACACCAGAGAUGAGACGCCAUGACACUCACACUAGCAGGGCUAAAAUUUAAAAGUCUAGCUGGGGCUGGGCAUGGUGGCUCAUGCCUGUGAUCCCAGCACUUUAGGAGGCCAAGGCAGGAGGAUUGCUUGAAGCCCAGGAGCUCAAGACCAGCCCCGGCACCAAAGCAAAACUGUACCUCUACAAGAAUUUUUUUUUUAAUUGGCUAGAUGUGGUACACAUGCCUGUGGUCACAGCUACUUGGGAGGCUGAGGAGGGAGGAUCACUUGAGUCCACGAGUUCGAGGCUUGGUGAACUGUGAUCAUGCCACUGCACUCCAGUCUGGGCAACAGAGUGGGACCUCAUCUCUUAAAAAUAAAGAAAAGGAAAGGAGUGGAAAGGAGAGGAGAGGAAGAAACUUGAUAUUUCAAUUAUUUUAAAUUUGUUGAGACUUGUUUUGUGGCCUAACAUAUGGUCUAUCCUGGAGAAUGUUCCAUGUGCUGAGGAAAAGAAUGUAUAUUCUGUACAGCUGUUGGAUGGAAUGGUCUGUAAAUGUCUGUUAGGUCCAUUUGGUCUAAACCAUAGUUUAAAUCCAAUGCUUAUUUGUUAAUUUUCUAUCUGAUGAUAUGUUGAAGGCUGACAGUGUGAUGUUGAAGACCCCAACUGUUACUAUAUUAGAGUCUCUCUCUUUAGAUCUAAUAAUAUUCACUUUAUAUAUCUGGAUGAUUUGGUGUUGGGUGCAUAUAUAUUUACAAUUGUUAUAUCUUCUUGCUGAGUCAGUCCCUUUAUCGUUAUAUAAUGACCUUCAUCUCUUUGUAGUUUUUGACUUAAAGUCUGUUUUAUCUGAUAGAAAUAUAGCUACUAUCGCUCACUUUGGGUUGAUGAAAUAUCUUUUUACAUCCCUUCCCUUUUAGUCUGUAUGUGUAUUUAUAGGUGAAGUGAGUUUCUAACAGGCAGUAUAUAGUUAGGUCAUUAAAAAAAAAUCCAUUCAGCGAGUCUGUAUCUUUUAAGUGGGGAAUUUCAUCCAUUUACCUUCAGGAUUAUUAUUGGUAGGUGAGGGUUUAUUUUAUAAUUUUGUUAAUUGUUUUCUGAUUGUUUUGUAUAUCCUUUGUUUCUUUGUUCCUUUCUUCCUUCUCAUUAUUUAUCAUUGAGGUUGGGUGGUUUUCUGUAGUGAUAAGGUUUGAUUCUUUUCUUUUUCUGUUUUGGAUAUUUGCUUUACCACUGAGUUUUAUACUUUUGUGUGUUUUCAUGAUAGUGAUUGUCAUUUUUUCACUCACAGAUGUAGGAUUCCCU